rnacentral:rRNA from 1 species
CUACGGGAUGCAGCAGUGAGGAAUAUUGCACAAUGGGGGCAACCCUGAUGCAGCAACGCCGCGUGGAGGAUGACGCAUUUCGGUGUGUAAACUCCUUUUAUCAGAGAAGAACCAUGACGGUAUCUGAUGAAUAAGCUCCGGCUAACUCCGUGCCAGCAGCCGCGGUAAUACGGAGGGAGCAAGCGUUAUUCGGAAUCACUGGGCGUAAAGGACGCGUAGGCCGGUCUGUAAGUCAGGUGUGAAAUGCAAUGGCUCAACCAUUGAACUGCACUUGAAACUGCGGACCUAGAGUAUGGAAGGGGCAGAUGGAAUUAGUGGUGUAGGGGUAAAAUCCGUAGAUAUCACUAGGAAUACCGAAAGCGAAGGCGAUCUGCUGGGACAUAACUGACGCUGAGGCGUGAAAGCGUGGGGAGCAAACAGGAUUAGAUACCCGCGUAGUC